AUUUAUUCCUAUUUUUUCUGUUUUAGACACGGAAUCGAUUUGAGGGAACCAGGUCAGAAGUGGAAGAACUUAUGAACAAAAUCAGACAAAACCCCAAGGACCACAAGCGAGCAAGCCAGUUCACAGCAGAAGGCUACCUGUAUGUCCAGGAGAAGAGGCCGGCUCCAUUUGGAUCCAGUUGGGUCAAACACUAUUGCAUGUAUCGGAAAACAGCCAA